rnacentral:lncRNA from 1 species
CAUUCCCUCCUGCUUUUGUUUUUCAUAGCAGAGAUUAGCAAAUGCAAAGAAAAGCCAGGCUGCUUGUCUUGCAGAAGGUCCCACGUUCUGGAUUUAUCCAUUGCUUCACGACUGGAUUCAGGUUCUACGUUUUUGACAAGGACCCUGCAGAGGUGAUGCUGCGUUGCUCAUCAGCACGUUGGGAGUCACGUGAUGCCAGUCUCGUCCUCUAUUGGUGAGCCUCAUACCUUGUCCGUUCUCUGCUACAGGCUCGGGCUCAGCCAUUGCUUCAAGCCACCCCAGGUUCUCCACAGUGGAGAAUGGUAUUUAGAAACCAAGAACUUGAUGCCGGAGGUGUUCAUGGCCACUGGGGUAGCAAUGCUUUUUUGGCCCUUGUCAGGGGCGGACAGAGUUUGGAAAUCCACAUUGUAUUUCUUUAAAUAUUGAGUGGACAAUUCAAAGUCAACAUCACGAGUUUCCUUCUCCCUCUGUACAUUCCAUAUCCAUAUCUCCCUUCUCACAGAGAGGUUCCCAACAUUACCAAUGUAUUUAUCACUUGCUCUCUCCUAGACUGCUUAUAAAAUACAAUUUCAAUACAAAUAUCACUACAAGAAAUCUGCUAAGUAAAAGUUCAUGCUAUCUUUGCAGUUAUUUUUGUCCUUAAAAUACAGUCCACUAGGAACACACACUAUGUGUACUAUGUUUAAAAUUUACGUGAAUUCUUUUUUCUCUGUGCUGUAAUGUUGUCACUGGGACACAAGGUUUCAUUUGUUCCUGUUUGUAUUCCAAUUCAGGAUUUGCCCUUACUCAACUAUUUUUAUUUUUGCUUUUUAAAUAUUUAAACCAUUAGAAACUAUAAUAGAAGUUCCAGCUACGGUGUGAUGGGAUCAGCGGUGUCUCUUGCAGCUCCAGGACACAGGUUCGAUCGCUGGCCUGGCACAGUGGAUUAAAGGAGCAUAGGUUGCGACUGCGGCUCAGAUCUAAUCCCUGGCCUGGGAACUGCACAUGCCCAGGAGCCAAACACAAAACAAACAAACAAACCAAAAACCUAUAUAUUAGGUGUGCACAGAGUUUUGACCUGUCCCUGACUCUCUGAGCUUUUGCCAUCCAUUGAGGACUGGCGUUUGCCAUAAUUUCUCUCUCUGCCAGUUUUCCCAGUUGACCAGGUCAUCGCCAGAUCUAAUCUGCAGGAAUUUACAAAUUGCAUGUGAAGAGACAGGAUCAUUUCAGGGCCCUCGUUUGUUUGUUUUUUUAAGAUACACAAUGAUUUGACAUUGCUUUUGGUUUAUGAUUCCGUAAAUUCUAAAGUCAGAUCGAUAUAUUCUAAGAGCAUUCAGAGAUGUGAAGCUUUCAUCCCUUUCCUUGGCUCCUCCAGAUGCAUCGAAUGCUUGUCCUCCAUGUUUCACCACCUAGGGUGGCUGAUGUGGCUAUAGCUGCCACAACCACAUUGCAGCCAGGAGGGAAGACAGGACCGAGGGUGUGCCCUUGACCUUUAGAGACACCUUC